UCAGACGUCCGUGUGUCCAGCCAUCAAAAGUGACCUGAAAAGCAGCAUUGACAGUGACCAGGUGCUCAGGAAGUUUAUGCUUGUAAGACCCAAUGACUCCCCACCAAGAAUCCUACCAGUUUCCUUGGAACCUUUGCUCAUGACCAUUCAAGAUGAGCAUUACACACUGGCGAAAGAGAUCUGCAUCUGGGGCCUUCAACUGAGCAACCCAGAGAUUGCCAGACUUGCUUUGCUUCUGGAAUUGAAGGGGCACACCACCUGCCCGUUUACCACCCUAGAAAUCAUUGAUUGCAAGAUGGAUCUGUGGUCUCUAGAGCGACUUGGGAAGGCUCUGCGGUUCAGUAGUUUGCAUUCUCUUGUCCUCGAUUACUGCAAAUUUGGAAAUGAAGAACUUGAGAGCAUUUUCUCAGGCCUGGAGAACAACCAAAGGCUUCAAGGCCUCAGUCUGCGUUACUGUGGUCUGGGACCUCAGAGCGGGCUAAGGCUGGGUUCGGUCAUCAGCCAGAGUGCCAUUUGCGAGCUGUUCCUUGAUGGCAAUUACUUGGAAUGUUCCGGAGCACUGGCUCUUCUCAGGCCCAUAGCAGGCUUUGCGGAGACACAGGGGGAAGACCAGCCAGCCCCAGGCUCACCAGACACUGGAAAUCCCCCUCAGCGGCUCCAAGCCAAACAGAGAGGAAGUUCAACUAUGAACCAGAUUACAAAAUCGUCUGAAGCUGUAACAGUGAAAACUACUUCAGGGAAGAAAAAGAGAAAAAAAGGAAUCAAGAAGAAAAUUGAAGGUCUGAUGGAAAGUGGUCCUUGGUUAGUGAAGUUGCAUUAGGCAGAUAAUGGCAUAGAUGGAAAAGGAAGAGAAGGAGAAAAUGGUUUAUUGGAAUUCAUUCAAACUUUAACAUGCCUGAUCAAAUACUCUGCCUACUUAAGGGAAAUUGACCUUGGAAACAAUGUUCUGGGAGAAAUGGCUGCUGCUAACAUACUUG